rnacentral:misc_RNA from 1 species
GGUGCGGUUUUUGCGGGUGCCAUUUGGUAGGUCUGACUUCCAUUGAUGAGUCUUUAAGCCUUCAUUCCAAACUUUAUGACCAGUAAGAAAAUGAGUUAAGGCAUUGGCCUUGUCCUCGAUACGAUAGUAUGGUUUCUAUGGUUCUACCUUUCUGAAAAAAAAAUUAUUUUUGUGAAAAUUUGGUAGCCUACUAUUUUUUUGAAGCACAAAUUCUAGAAUAAUUGAUCUCCAAACCGC